GACGAACGCUGGCGGCGUGCUUAACACAUGCUAGUCGAACGGAAAGGCCCUGCUUUUGUGGGGUGCUCGAGUGGCGAACGGGUGAGUAACACGUGAGUAACCUGCCCUUGACUUUGGGAUAACUUCAGGAAACUGGGGCUAAUACCGGCUAGGAGCUCCUGCUGCAUGGUGGGGGUUGGAAAGUUUCGGCGGUUGGGGAUGGACUCGCGGCUUAUCAGCUUGUUGGUGGGGUAGUGGCUUACCAAGGCUUUGACGGGUAGCCGGCCUGAGAGGGUGACCGGCCACAUUGGGACUGAGAUACGGCCCAGACUCCUACGGGAGGCAGCAGUGGGGAAUAUUGCACAAUGGGCGGAAGCCUGAUGCAGCAACGCCGCGUGCGGGAUGACGGCCUUCGGGUUGUAAACCGCUUUCGCCUGUGACGAAGCGUGAGUGACGGUAAUGGGUAAAGAAGCACCGGCUAACUACGUG
rnacentral:rRNA from 1 species